AACGAACGCUGGCGGCAUGCCUAACACAUGCAAGUCGAACGAGACCUUCGGGGCUAGUGGCGCACGGGUGCGUAACGCGUGGGAACCUGCCCUUAGGUUCGGAAUAACUCCCCGAAAGGGGUGCUAAUACCGGAUAAUGUCUUCGGACCAAAGAUUUAUCGCCUUUGGAUGGGCCCGCGUUGGAUUAGCUAGUUGGUAGGGUAAAAGCCUACCAAGGCGACGAUCCAUAGCUGGUCUGAGAGGAUGAUCAGCCACACUGGGACUGAGACACGGCCCAGACUCCUACGGGAGGCAGCAGUGGGGAAUAUUGGACAAUGGGCGAAAGCCUGAUCCAGCAAUGCCGCGUGAGUGAUGAAGGCCUUAGGGUUGUAAAGCUCUUUUACCCGGGAUGAUAAUGACAGUACCGGGAGAAUAAGCUCCGGCUAACUACGUG
rnacentral:rRNA from 1 species